UACAGCUGAAACACCCCCACACUUAAAACAAUGAAUAAAUAAUUUGUAAUGCAAUGACAAAUACCCAUACAUGGGUUACAUAGCCAGUCAAUAAAUUAAGAAAAAUGUUUAUUCAUAUUUCACAUCAUGCCGUAGAUUAAUAUUUGGUUGCCUCUAAAUACUUUAAUAUUACUAAGCCAAAAAGUAUCACAACCAUGACAUCUUUGAGUUAAAUACUCCGAGCUUCAAUCUUUAUGAAUUCCAAAAUAAUGAAAUAAAUGUGCUGCAUUUAAGACAAAACACACGUCACUUUAAAUUGUGGCUGAUAUCCAAAAUAGCUGAUUGUAACACAAGUUCCAUCAAGUUCCACCUUCCUACAGUUUCCCUGAUGCCUAUCUGUGUCUGAUGCACAGAACAGCAGUGUGAGAAAGUUCAUAUUUUAUAUAAAACAUUGAUCCCUGUCAUUAACCUUCAUCAAAAGGAGGAACCUGCCACGCCUCUGUCUUUCUUUGCCUCACAGAUUUUCUGCAGUGAAAACGCUUUUUGCACCCUAAUGCUGGGAUUAGGAGAGAGCACUGAUCAUUUACCUAUUGAUCUUAAACAGAUGAAAAAUAAGCAAGGGUUGUCUGUGGUUAUGCUUGAACAGCCUUCUUAGUUUCUGUGAGGUUGUUAAAUCUUUAAAAUAAUUUUCUCCUUUAGUGUAGUCAAAGAAAAACAGCACCAGUCACUGAUAAUUUGAGUAGUCUUGUAUAGAGUAAGACAUCAACAUAGCUCUGCAGAUUUAUAAAUCCUUACAAAUUUAUGACCUUCACAGUUUGCAAACCACAAACCCACAAACACGCACAUAAGAAAGGUCAUCUUAUAGAUCAAGAAAAGCAGUCAGUGAAAUUCUUUUUCUUUGACUUUCCAUCAUGGAGCAAGAUUUGAAUACUUAUGAGUGUCCGUGUAUGUCUGAAAGUUACUGGAUUAUCGGAAGAAACCUCCCUUUGAGUUUGUGUAUCUCUGUGUGCAUGCAUGGCCUGCUAGCUGCUGUCUUGUCAGAAAAUACUUUUAAUGGUGUGUUUGUGUGCGUCUUCGCCUCCUUGUUCUGUCUAAUCCGACGUAGUUUUCUCUUGACGGGCUGUCAGCCUUGACACCAAACGAGAAGAUGUGUGGACCUCUCCGUCAGCCUCUCUGUGCUCUUCUGCUGCUGCAUCUCUGAAGCAGUUUCAAGGUUUUCAAAGCCCACAGAUAGUUCUUUAAAAAGAUUUGUUGGAGGGGUAAAAAGUUGGAAAGGAACCAGAGAUGGAGCUUCAGUUCAUCGCCUUCAUGUGAGGAAGAUUUUGCCUGAUUGGGCACGAAGCGCUGACAAGAGAGGGACUUCAAGGCGGGCAGGCGGGCAAAAGACAAGGCGUCACUCAUGAUAACUGGCUCCAUCUCACACAAACUAGAUCAGCCACUAAUAAUGAGGGCACUGUGUAAUAAUAAUGAUAAUAAUAAUUCGAGCUGUUUACAAUAUAUCUAGGUUGCCCUUAAAGCAAGAUUUUGCAAAGUCAGACUCUUUGGAGGAUAUACAGCCUCUCACUUUCCAUCCUCAUUAUCCGUGCAUUGAUCCGAAUAGGUGGGGAUGUCCUAAUGAAGAGGUACUACGCUGAUCCUCCUCUGGGGAGGAGAGGGGAUUUGGGUUGGAAACUGGUGCGGACAAACACAGAGGUGGAAAUCACUAAAACAAUUAUGGCGAGUGCUCCAGAAGAACCUGCACAAUUAUAGUGCAUGAUACUGUUAGGGUCACUGGUUUCAGAUUUUGACUUUUAAUCAAUGUAAUCUGUACUUGCAGUUUUGUGGUUGCAUGUGUGGAAUCCAUACAGAACACUUGCAAUCAUUCAUAGUAGGUAAUAAGCAUCAAAUAAAAUAAAAUAAAUAAAUAAAUAAACAAAACUCCUAAAGCAAAACUGUAACAGUGUAGCAAAAAAAAGAGCCUCAUUUAAAAGACUGGGAUUGGGAGUGGUUAUGCAUGCAAGCUGAUGCAAAUCACUCCCAUCGUAACAUUACCACAGGAGCUGUGUUUUGAUAAAAGCUACUGAAACAGUCCAGAGGUUUUUAGCUUCUGUACUCUAUGAAGGCUCGAGUGAGCACAAAGACGACUUAAGUUAGUGUAUCUGAGCAAGGAAAACAUAUUUUAUGGUAUGAGAUCUUAGGGUGAAUCAUAUUUAAAAAGCAAGGCAAAAGCCAUUAUGUUGAAUAAAGACUUUUAAAGGGGACUGUACAGAACAGAAUCCUCAUUUGCAGCACAGCACUGAUUGUAACCUUCAGGCAUCAGUCUACUGAGAAGAGGUUGUUGUUGAUUUAGGAGGAAAGGAGAUGGCAAUAACCUCUGUUAGAUUCACAAAUCCCUACCAGAGAGCAGUAUUAAAAAACAAAAAUGUGGCCAAACUGGACUGUGGAGAAGACAAAACAGAUGAUGGAUAAUUGCUCAGGUUGGACGGAGAAGCAGUUCACCAGCACCAGCAUCCUCCCUCAGCAUCCUAGCUUGUUUGUAACAGAAUCCAUUUUUCACUAAAGCUCUUUGUCCCUUUAGAGCCAAACUUUUAGCUGAAAUGGCCCAGCAAUUGACAUUGAAAAACAUGGAUGAGUAAUGAUAAUUGGAAGUGUGCUGCAGAAGAAAAUCUCUGGAUUAGAAACUAAUCUAAUUUCCCCUUUUCAGACUUUGAGUAUGAGACAGAUCAAGACAGCGUGACAAGGUUAAAAAGAGGUAAAAAUAGUACAACUCCAUUGUGGAGGGAGCAUUAAGAUUUAGGUAUGUCCAAGGGAAGGUACUGUGGGCUCGUCUUAAAUGAUCUUGAGAUGUGAACAUUGAUAGAAUUAUGUACAGUAGGGCUUUAGGGCGCAUUCACACCACCCUCGUUUAGUCUGGUUAAACCGAUCCCUGGAGCGUUUACCCCCUUGGUGCGGUUUGUUUGGGUCCGUGUGAACGCUGACCUCGAACUCUGGUGCCAACCAAAUAAACGAACUCUGGUCCGCCUGAAGAGGUGGUCUCGGACCACUAUUGAGUGAACUCUGGAGCGGUUCAUUUCGGGUGUGAACGUCAUCCACACCAAUCACAGGAAAUGGUUGUAGGCUCUCAUUAAUGCCUGUCGCCGUCUCCUCUUUAUCCGUCUGUUGUUUGCAGCACAUCUACUCUGGAAUGUAUUAAUUAAUGCCGCAGUUCACACGCUGGCUAACGAGCCGUUUGUGUGCGGGAUUGACUAGUGUCAUUUGAUACACGCACCAGAUGAGUAGCAAAAGCAAAAUCAGCCUACAAUGCUCCAUGACAGGCGAAGACAGCAGAGCGGGGUUUGUAUUCCCACAUAAACUAAUGACCAAUAACUGAACGAUAUUCGCGGUCACGUGACUUCCGGUUCCGUUUUCUGGAGCGAUUGAGUUUGUCCUUUGUGAGCGCAAACCAGACCAGUUAAACAAUUAAAACAAAUGUAUCGUCUUGCCUUGGAUUCAAAUCAGGAAACAGACCUUUCAGUGUGAACACGACCUUAGAUUUGUAAUAUUAAACCAGGGAGAUGCAAUAUGGAAGUGAAUCAGAGGAAAACCUCAACUAACCUGGCAUAUUGAAGCUGAAUUACAAGGUUCAGGGAUAAGGAGUUGGGUGCUGAUUGCAUGCUGUUUAAAUGAGAGUAAGGACUUUAGUAUUGUGUUGUUUAUGAACAUUUCAUUCAAAAAAAUGGAACUGCUGAGUGAAUGACGUGAAUGGAAUCACUUUGAGACCUGAUUCAUUCCUUUCUCAGUUCAGUAGAGCUCAGCCGUGUGCCUGGCGUGCCAUUUGGGAGUGGAACUGCUGCCCUUGCUUGACUCUUUGGCGAACAACGCACAGCCAGCCAGCCAGCCAGCAGGCAGGCACAGUCUCGUGAUUUGCUCACAGCGGAUGAACGAUAUGUAUCAGUCAGUCAGUGAACGACAUCUAUCAGUCAGACUGUGAACAAAACAAACGACUUCCAAACGACGUGAGGCAGGCGGAGGAGGGAGGGGUAAAGCGUGGUUCACCAACUGCCGGGUUGAGGCUAAGAUAAAACAGUGCAUUAUAGUGCCUUUACAUUAAUACACAUGUAUAAACUUUCCUGCAAGAAGGAUUUAAUUUAAGCCAAUUUAAAGCAAUAUGCUAUUUAAUACCUUUAAAAGUAGCGGAAUCCCUUAGCUGCAAUGUUUACUUAUUUUGAAUCUCUCCACUUUUCUGCGGUAUAAAACCACGACGACUUACACUCGUUUAGCGGGCGUGCUGCUUGCAGCUGUGAUGUUUCUUCCUUCAGGAUUUGGUGAAUGAACGACAUGUGUCACCCAGUGAACACUGCUGUGACUUCAGCAGCAGGGGAGGGGAGAGGAGGGGCUCGUUCAAUGAGUGAAGUCAUGGCUGUGUCACUCACUCGUGUACUACACCGGCAGGACGGGGCUCCAGAGCACUGACUGAUUCAGUGAAAGAAUCUUUCGAACGAAUCAUUUUAAUGAACGAAUUCUCAAGAUUCAGUACAGUCAAAAGAACUGUUCUUCCCAUCACUGAAGGACACGUUGACCCCUGUUUUUAUAAAUAGUGAUCACUCCAGUGGAAAAUGGACAUGUUUGUACCUUUUAAUCGAAGAGUUAUCUUACAACAUUGGUGAUAAUGUUGGACUAUCUAAACAAGGUGAAGUGGAGUGCAGUGCUGGCAGAACUUCACUUAAAGUACUCACUGGGUCUGAGUAAAAGAGAAGUAGUUUUGAUCUAUGAAAGCUCAGGCAACACUUAGAGUCGUGGCCUUCAGGGUCACUCAUAAAAGCCAUAAGCUCUAAGAAUUUAAAAGUGCUACUGGACCUUUUAAUACCUGAAGGCUCCACAUGCAUGUCAGAGGAUCGCUUUGAAGGAGUAAAAGUAGAAACGGGUCAGAGGGUUUGACUUUGUUGGCUACUGAAGCCCAUAUACCAUGAAAGUAUACUGCUUUCUUGUUUCCUUUAGCUUCUGAACAAAAGGUAGCUCUUAGUUUGUGGUUGUGCCAUUGCAGGGGGUUUGCUUUCUUGGUGGGGAGAGCUGCUGGAUUGACCUGAUAAACCCUGGAUUCCUCCCUGUAGAAAUAUACUCGAUAUGUGGGAACUGGCACAGGCCCACGACUUGGCAUUUUGCAUCUGGUCUGAGAACACAGAGGAAUCCCCAAGGAUGAGUUUGAGCCAAGUACUGAGGAGCAGGAUGUUUGGCUGCCUUGCAUGACCUGCUGUUACCUAAAUCUACAAAGUGGGUAGAUAUUUGAUGCUUAAGUGGUGGCUUUGGGUUGUGGCUGAAAUGUUCCAAAUUUUAGUCCAGAUCGGUAUACAAGAGGUUUUUCUAAAGUGUUCUAGAGUAGUAUAAAGUAGUGUCCUUAAUGUUUUCAUAUCAUGACUUGGAGCAAGCCAAA
rnacentral:lncRNA from 1 species